AGGAAACGUUACUCUUAAGGUUUAGUCUAAAUCCUUUUCUUGCAAUUUAAGGUUCAGAAGAAAAGCUAUUUGCUCCUUCUCACACACAGGCGAGUCCUUCAAAUAUUUGCACAUAAGCCUAUCACCCCUCAAUCAAGUCCUUUCUUUCCUGAAUCUAUUCCUCCAUCUUUACAGUACUGAGCGGAAAACCCACAGUGGGGUUGGAUCCCAUAGAUGUCCACAUGCAAGUUAUGCACUGACUGUGCUGUGUCCCCUUUCUGCUAAAAGUUUAGCCGCUCUCUUGCCUGAGUUUUGCAAGACCUUUUUUUCCUUCCAUUUCAAAGAUGGGAUCGAUCUCUUUAGGACUCCCUGGCAAUUGGACUCAUUAGGCGGCUCUGCGUUCUUGGAGCCUUAAUGAGAGAGAAGGAAGAAACCUUUCAAGAGGGAAAAUCCUUUGAGUCUGAGCAUUUCCAGCCAAAUAGAGAGGCAGAGAGACUGCAAGGAAUUAUGGAAAGAGCAAGGAGCUCCAACUUUCCUUUUUUCUCCCAAAGGGAUUUUCCAUGGACCCAGAGUGGCUUACUAUACAACUUAAAGCAAAAUAGCUAAAGCAAUAUACAUCCAAGAAAAACCCAUGACGGGUUCGCCUUCAAAUUGCCGUAAGUCGGAGACAACUUGAAGGCACAUAACGACAACAACAAAGUUGGAAAUGGCUUGCAGGCACACAAUGACAACAACAACACCAAGCCCAUUUCAUCCAGUAUAACCAUUGAACACUGCAAUCUGCAAAUACUGGUGCCAAAUCAAACAUCUUUAAGGCUCUGUAAGAUUCUUUAUUUUAAAAAAUACAGUUUACCAGAAUGUAAUUCCACUAAAUUAUGCCUGCCUUUGUUUUCUCUGUUGCAUUGACAAUGUGUAGAAGCAGCAGCCACACAAAGUAAGCUUGGAGAACAUGUUUAUCAGAAAUACUUUGG